CCUCCUUAACGAGAACUCAGUAGCCUCUCGGUAAAGUGCCUACCUCUAUUACUUGAUCCUGUAGAUUUUUAGAACAUAAAGUCUGCAAUGGUUUCGAAAGACACAGAUGGGUCUGUAGCUCAGUUGGUUAGAGCGCACCCCUUAUAAGGGUGAGGUCGGUGGUUCAAAUCCACCCAAACCCACCAAUAUUUUGAANUUAUUUUGAAAAAC
rnacentral:misc_RNA from 1 species